rnacentral:lncRNA from 1 species
GAGGGGUUUUUGAAGUUUUUCCAAAAAAAAUCAUGAUUCAUUCGAAUGAAAAACAUAGACACACAGCCCCUAAACAACAGGGCACCAUAAAUGAGACCCGUAAACAAUUCCUAUUACUAACACCCCACCGACUUUUCUAAGUUUUGCUACAAGAAAUUUUGUUUUGAUACAAGUAAAUUUCGUAGGAUGAAUUAGGGACUUAAUUUGAAUUAAUAAUUCCACCUACUACCCAUUAAUAAAUAUCAACAACAUUAGUAGUAUCCUUGGCUAAAAAAUUGAAAUAACCGUAAAAAAAUUAAUGCCAGCUCUUCCGAUUAAACAAGGUAAAAUCAAAAUAAUUAAGAAGUUUUAACAGGAAAACAUAUAGUUCACAAAUUAUUUUUAAUUUCAUACUUGAGGACACACUGCAUUUUUAGAUCCAAUGAACGGUUCUGCCACAGUACUUGCCAUUGCAACGGGAAGCACAGAAAAAGAUCAACACCAUUUCUCAUUUACCAUUCAUAGUAGUAACAUACUAACAUGUCAUGCAAAGUGGAGAUGAAACUAAACAAAAAUAUAGAUAAAUAUAGAUAAAUAUCCGAGUUGUAGCAUUGUUUGAUUUAACAAAAAAGAAAGGUAAUGACCACUCUUUAUCUUAUUUUAGAAUAAUGAGGAAUGUUAAUAGUCGAAAACUAUAAUGAGAGGUACCUGGGUUUGCAAUUACCGAAUACAUGAUCGUCGACGAGAAAACANUUUCUUUUGAGAGAGAGAUAUGUAGCACGCUAUGAACUUGGGUCUCGAGUAUCAAUCACCAAAUCCUUUGCCACUUACUCUAGGGACGGUCGGUUACUACUUUAUGAAGUUAAAAUUAAAAUUUAAUAGCCUAUCGAUACGUAUCAUAUCCAUCGUGUCAUAUCGUGCUAAUAAGAUAUCGGCACAAUAUAACUCCUGUGUCGAUGGUACAAUUCAAAAUUCUUUAUUUUUUAAACUAGUAAGUUUUUUUCUAAAUAAAGUUUAAAAGAUUUGAUAAAGAUGCAUAAUAAAUAAUUAGAAUAUUUUAUUACUAAAAAAAUUAAUGUUUUAUAUCAUUAUGUGUCAGCACAUAUAUAUUUUUUAUGAUCGGCACACAUUGACACGAUCUGACAUGCAUCUUACAUUCUUACUAUGCUAAUAAGCUUUCGGAAUGACUCCAUACCAUGGAAAUUAAAUUCUUGGUUAAAACUACCUGAUAGUAAAGUAAAAAAAUGAGUAAACCACAAUUCACAGGAGUAGGUAUUUAAAGUUUCUUCUACACACUUCAAGGGAGAAAUUAACGGAGGAUCUGACAGAAAAAAUAAAAUAAAAUAAAAUUAUAGAUACUAAAAUAAUAUAUUUUAAUUUAUAGUAUAAGAUACUAAAGUGAAAAAGUGUUAAAUCACAUGGGGACCUUUAACAUUUUUUAAUAUAUAAGAGAGAAAAGCUAAAGGGAAUGCUGGUUUUUAUUCUUAUAUUUUAUUUUAUUUUAUUUUUUAAAAUAUUAUAGUUAAUUUUGUCUAACUAAUAAAAAAAUAAUUUACUGAAAAAACAAAAAAUAAUAGUACUUUUUUUAUCAUCUUAUUUAUUACUAUAAAUUUUUUAAAUAAAAAAAUAUCUGUUCGUCUCAAAUUGUUUGACUUUCUAUCAAUUUAGCAAUAAAAAGAUAAUAAUUUUUACCUUGUGUUUAAUCAAAAAUUAUUUUUAAUCUAAAAACCAGUUUCAAGCAAACAAACGAAUCAAUAUAAACAGGGCCAAACCUCAAGUGAAAGCAAAGGCAAAAGGCCGUAGACAGAAUCUUUUGUGGACCCUGUGCACCACGUCAUUUGUGGACCGCCCAAUAAGCGGAGGAAAAUUAAACUCCAGGUCGCCGUUCGAAGAACUCGGUGGCGGGAAACCACGAUUCGCCGACUUCAUGUCGGAGAGUCGGUGGCGAAGCAGCUCCUGCGCGCCGACUUCAACGGGAAGCUGCAAUUCUAGCGACAUCCCUUUCAAUUUUUAUUUUUAUUUUUAAUUUUCGUUUUUUACUUCGAUUAAUUUGAUUAAUCAAUUAAAAGUUUUAUUCUACUCGAUAAUUUUAUUAAAUAUUAAAUAUUAACUUCUUUUUUUUUUUGCUAAUGCUUAGAAAAGAUAUUUUAAAAUACCGAACUGACUUAAUUGUAAUUCAGGAAUUAGUAACAAAAGAUCCAAAAUUGUCAGAUCAUAUAUAUUCUCAGUUUAAAGCCAUAAAAUGCUUUAAAUGCUGGGCUUGUCCCACAGAAGCAAAGGCGAAGUACUGGCUUUGUCGAUAUUUCUCAAUAAGAAGGGAAAAAUAUAUAAUUUGCCUGAAUUAUGGUCUAUUUGAAUCUAACUGCUCAAUCUUUUGAAAAUUUAAAUUUAUUAUCCAAUCUUUCAAUUUUUUUGAUUUGAGUCGAUUAAUAACACAUUAACUUCAAAUUUUAAAUGUUUUGUUUAUUUCUACACAUUUAAUUAGGACAUAUCAUAAAAUUUUCACAACUAUAAGUUUAUUAAAAUAGAUAAUUAGUUUAAAUUUUAAGAUCAAAAUAUUAUUGACUAAUUCAAAUCAAACAAAUUGAAAGAUUGAGUAAUAAAAUUAAAAUUUUAAAAGAUUAAAUAGUCAAAUUUAAAUGGUUCAUAGUUUAAAUAAGUUUCAUAUAUUUUUAUCUAAUAAAAAUGUGCUAAAUCACGAUAUUAUUAAUGUAAAAAAAAAAAAAAAAUUCAUGAUUCAUUCGAAUGAAAAACAUAGAAACUGAGCCCCUAAACAACAGGGCAUCAUAAAAGAGACCCGUAAACACUUCCUAUUGCUAACACCCCACCGACUUUUCUAAGUUCUGCUACAAGAAAUUUUGUUUUGAUACAAGUAAAUUUCGUAGGAUGAAUUAGGGACUUAAUUUGAAUUAAUAAUUCCACCUACAACCCAUUAAUAAAUAUCAACAACAUUAGUAGUAUCCUUCGCUAAAAAAUUGAAACAACAGUAAAAAAAAUCAAUGCCAGCUCUUCCGAUUAAACAAGGUAAAAGCAAAAUAAAUAAGAAGUUUUAACAGGAAAACAUAUAGUUCACAAAUUAUUUUUAAUUUCAUACUUGAGGAAACUCUGCAUUGUUAGGUCCAAUGAACGGUUCUGCCACAGUACUUGCCAUUGCAACGGGAAGCACAGAAAAUGAUCAACACCAUUUCUCAUUUACCAUUCAUAGUAGUAACAUACUAACAUGUCAUGCAAAGAGAUGAAACUCAACAAAAAUAUAGAUAAAUAUCCGAGUUGUAGCAUUGUUUGCAUUGUUUGAUUUAACGAAAAAGAAAGGUAAUGACCACUCUUAUCUUAUUUUAGAUUAAUGAGGAAUGUUAAUAGUCGAAAACUAUAAUGAGAGGUACCUGGGUUUGCAAUUACUGAAUACAUGAAUACAUGAUCGUCGACAAGAAAACACUUGGCCUAAUUUGAUGCACUUUUGCUCGUGCUUCAUCAGCAGCAGGCCCUAUUAAGGCAUCAUUUAAAAGGAAAAAAAAAAAAUCUAGUACCGCAGCAUAAAGCACAAAAAAAGAUUGAUAAUAGAAGAUCCAAUUGAUGCUUCGGAGGAUAUCUUUGAUAGUGCACUUGCUAACAACACUGCUCAAAACAUCAAUAUAUCAAAUAACACCAUACCAUACAGUAAAACCCAAACAGAUGGCAUAUCAUGAUACUCACUCCACUCACAUCAUUUUAAACUUUCCCGCUCCAGGGAUCGCGAGC